rnacentral:rRNA from 1 species
GAUGAACGCACAAGACGUGCCUAACACAUGCAAAUCGAAUGAACCCAAUAAUUAAUUAUUGGGUUCAUGGUGAACGGGUGAGUAACACAUAAGAAUCAGCUUUUAGAUAAGGCAUAAAAGAGUAAUAUCUUGGUAAUUCCUUAUAUGCGCAGCAGUGCUUAAAAAGGGGACUCCCGUCUAAAAACGAGCUUAUGCCUGAUUAGCUAGUUGGCGAGUUAAAAGCUCACCAAGGCGAAGAUCAGUAGCUGGCCUGAGAGGGCGGCCAGCCACAUUGGGACUGAGACACGGCCCAAACUCCUACGGGAGGCAGCAGUGAGGAAUAUUGGACAAUAGGCGAAAGCCUGAUCCAGCGACGUCACGUGAAUGAUGAAGGCCUUAGGGUUGUAAAAUUCUUUUAGUGGAGAAGAUAAUGACGGUAUCCACAGAAAAAGUCCCGGCUAACUUCGUGCCAGCAGCCGCCGUAAAAC